UCUAUGAAAAUUGUUUUUACUGGUUUAAAUAACUAAAUAUAUUUCAUGUUGUUCAGUUUAGUUGUAUUAAUUAAUAGCUGCGGCAUUGUUUACAUAUUCGUAUCACACAUCAUGUGCCAAUUUUUGAAAACUAUUCUGUUACAAGUUACAGAACAGAUUAUUUCCGUAACUUUGAUUAAGUGCGCUUACUGAAGAAUUUUAUGUCAGCACGUCAUCAUACAAAUAAAUUGUUUUAAACAAUUUUAAAACGUUACAAACGUGUUAAUACUUAAUAGAACGAAAGAUUUGACAUACAAAUACAUGUUUCGAAUAUUUCGAACUGUUUCGUUUAUCAAUGUAAUAAGAACGAUUUUUUUCCUUGGUCUUUACUCAGGAUUAUUGUAUUUCUUGUAAUAUACAAACUUUUCGUCCUCUCUUUGGAAAAUACCAAAGUUUCAAAUGGUGUCAUAUCAUCAUAGUGGUAUUGAAUAAAUGACAUUGUAUUUAGUAGAGUGAAAAUCGUAUCAUUAGGAAUAAAUUUGUUGACCCGGAGGGUGUAAUUGUUUUCUACAUUUAAUUGUAUGUUUAGUUUUGUAGAGAAACAAUUUAUUCGUAUCCCCAAAAUACCCACAACAUACUGUAUCAUUGCAGUGUAUAAAAAUGUACUAUUAAGUCAUUUAUACUGAAUUAAUGAAAUUGCAUUCCGUUCGCUUGUAGUUUACUUAUGAUUGCCUCUGCAGUAGUAAUAAUUAUGAACACAACAAGAUAAUUUUAAUUAUUUUACAGCAUUCACAGUAACCGAUGAUCACUAUCCCCCUACCAGGUUCUCCUUCUUCUUGCUGCUUUCAGUCACCGAUCAUCGCCACCCCCCUACGAGCCUCUCUUUAAGUUAUCUUGCCACAGAUUCCGAUUUUACAGCCACUGAUGAUCACCCCCCCCCCUACGAGCAUCUCCUUAACUUGUCUUGCCACAAUUUCAG